GUCAAUGUUUAUGCAGUCUUUGUGCCAGCGUCCAGUCCUUGUGUGCGUGAUUGAACACCGGCACCAACUCCACAGAAGCAAUGGAAUCUGUCCUUGCAGAAAUAAAAACCUUGAGUGGAUGCGGCUCUGAGGAACUUAAUCUAGUUAAUCCUGCUUGAUCGAGGAGGUUGGAGUACUGGCCUCCAGAGGUGCCUUCCGACUUCAACCACCCCCUGUUUCUAUCAGAAGAAAAGUCUUGGCAAACAAAACUUCUGAAUUUCUCUAAUUAAGCCUGGGAAAUGCCUGGUGUGGAAACUGCAGAAUUGUUCGUUCUCAGGUCGACUCCUUGCUCAUAAAGAUAAGAGCAAUGUUCAGAGCAAUUGGAAAGAACAAUUCUCUUGAGAUUUGCAUUACCAUGCAGUUUUUUACUGAUGUUUGCCCAUUACAACACAAUGGAUGAUGUAAAUGCCUAUUUAUCUUCAUCCCCUAACAAAGCAGAAAAUGUGCAUGGUUACACAGUGAAUAGAAAAUAGAAAGAUUCAACAAUGCAAUAUCUUAAAGAAAGAAGUGCCAAUUAAGCAUCUUGCAAAAAUAUUGUCAGUUAUAAAGAAAUCCUGUAUGUACACACGUAGCUUGGCAAGUUUCAGUUUGCUGACUCAGUGGACAUUUUAGAUAGCAGCAGGAAUAGUGUUAUUACAAUGAUGGUCUAAGGAAGACAGUGAGGCAGGAUUUGUAGAGAGAACGAGAUGAGGCAAGUAGAUUUUUUUGACUGAAGAGGGGGUUGCUUGAAAGAGUGCCUCUUUAAUUCUGUUUAUAUUGGUUUGUCUAAUUAAGGCAAUCUAAGCCAGUGACAUUAUCAAAUGCAUUUGUGGUCCAAAAACCAUUGCAUUUUUUCACUCUUUGAAGAAUCCAAAUGAUGAAUCAAGUAACAGGAAUGUCACUCCUGACUCGUGAUAUUGUAUUUGUCUGUGUUUUUCAAGUUUCUUUCACUUACAAAUGGAGACAUGGACGUGGUAGCAAAGGGAAAAUGAAUCCCAUGUGAAGAUAAAACUCUUAUCUAGGAUGUUGCCUUCAAUAGAAACCUCAGCACCAUAAAAUCUAAGUUCUUUAACAACAUAAAUCCUAAAUAUGUCCUAAAUUCCUUGGCAUCAUAGAACACACAUACUACUUUAACCUAUUUCUUUUUGCUGUUUUCCUGAGUUUUUGAAAUUUUUAUAUUUCCUCUAUUUAUUUCUCCAUAUUUUUUUGACAUCUCCCUGUGUUUAAUUUGGUUUGCCAUUUUUUUGUUUAAUUUCCUGUGGUCAGUAGCAAAUCAAUGAUUUUGUACAGGGGCAUUGUCUGGGUUUCCAGCAAGUACAACAAGGACCCAAAUGUUUUCUUGGGUGUGAUUCUGCAGACAGCUGCCUGUACUUAUAACUGAUUCUUUUCCUGACAGCUUUAAAUUAUUGCUAUUUACUUGCCUGCAAGCCUUCACUAAAACUGAAAUUCUUGCACAAGCUCUGAUAUGUCAGGAAAACUGCAGAUGAAGCAUGUGAAGAAAGCAAUUUAUCCAUCACUGACAGUCUAGCAGUGCACGACAAUAUUUCAGUGGCUGGUCAGUGGUGAACUGUGGCAGUGGCAGUUUCAUUAGGUGUGAUUUCAGGUCAGCCCAUGAAUAGUUUAUAUCUCUUCUUCUGUUAAGAGUUUGCAUAUAGGUUAUUAUUUAGAUGUUACUUAUCUAAAAUGUAGGAGAACUGACAGGUGAUUGCUUUAAUUGAAAUGGAAUAUAUGCAAUUUAAACUAACCAUAAAUUGAAAUGGAGGGUUUUGAGGAAUCCUUAUCUGGAUGUAAUUUUUGGUGAGUGUAUUUUUUUUCUUGGUUUGUUUUCUUUUUUAAUAAAUCUGAAAUAAAUAAAAUUAAUUAUUAAUGCCAUUCAAAACUGACAAGGGCUGCUGGCUGGGGGCCUACAGGGAAGCUGGAAAGGGGCUCUUUAUCAGGGAGUGCAGUGAUGGGAUAAGGGGUAGUGGUUUUAAGCUGAAAGAGGGGAGAUUUAGAUUAUUUAUUAGAGGUCUCCCGAAAGAAUACUGCCAUUGGCGGGAUUUUAUAGAGGAAGAGCUGAACUUCAGGAGAAGAAGAUGCUGAGUUUGUUCAAGCACUCAGACAUCAGCUUACAUACCUAGGUCAUCCAACAGGGUAUUUAAAGGCUUCCACUUCUUUUAUAUAUAUUUUGAAGUCUGCCUUGAGAGGACUAGAUCCAAUAUUAUCAAUGGGGUCUCAAGAAAGAAAACCAUAUCCAUUAGAUUAUCCUUCUUUUAAAUUUUCUAACCAGCUCUUCUUUGAUCAUACCUCCAUGCUGGAUGUACUCCAGGCUGUGCUGAUGAGAAAUGGGAGAACCUCUGGGCCAUCCUGGUUCAUGUUGUCAGGUUUACCCCUGCCUCUCUGAUGCAUCCUCCUAGAGCUGUUCCCAGCCCAGAUAUCAAUGCCAGUGUGUCCAUCUGAUGUUGGGUGUUAACUCCUCCAGCAGUACUGCUCGGUGUGUGUUUCACAGAAUAACAGAAUUUUUUAGGUUGGAGAAAACCUUUAAGAUCAUCGAGUCCAGCAUUAACCCAAAAAUGCCAAGUCCACUGCUAAAACAUGCCCUUAAGUAACACAUCUACACAAACUCUAAAUCUCUCCAGGGAUGGUUACUCGACCGCUUCCCUGGGAAGCCUUUUCCAAUGCUUGACAGGUCCUGCUUUUGGCAAAUCCCUUGGGAAUUUUUGCCUCCUCCUUCUGAAGAAGUGUCCCUGUGCUAACCAGGGGAGGUUUUAUGUGCACUUUUAUUUUGUAUUAUACAUUAGACAGCAGCAUGUUAGAGGAUUGUUUUAGUGCUGAAAGAAAGUGAUCUCUGAAAUUAUUUCAGUUUCUUUUCCAAAUUCCUGUGGGAAAAUAUAAAGGCAUUUUAUGUAUCACUGAACUAGGCAGUAGCAACAACUAAUCUCCUGUUUGGGCUGAGAGAAAUGUACCCACUUGCUUUCAGGACACGUUACUGACUGAGAUACCAAGAUAAUAGCACAGGUUUUCCAUUUUGCCUAUGUUCUAAGAUCUGAAUUUUCAAUCAUCUCCUUCACUUUAGUUUAAUUAAUCCAGGUUAACUGAAUUCAAUCAACUGCCCUACGCUUUCUUUAAUCAAGAUAAAAUGCCAUGGCUGACUUAUGCUUGUAAAACUUGAUGGUAAACCUUUUUUAUAUAGGUGUAAAUUAUAAGUUUGUAUGUUUCUCUGCUUUGUUUUACUGGCUACACAUCAGAGAUACACAAGAACUUUCUGGAAGAGAAAAUGUCUUAAAUUUCCACAGGCUCUGUGACUCUGGAACCCUUGUAUCAUUGACUUGCAGUGAUUCUGAAUCAAUUAGGAGCCUAAAUAAAAUUUGAAAAGGAUAUUGAUUGUCCGAAGGAGUCUAAAAGCACUUUUCAGUAUCUGUAGCUAAAGGAACUUACGGUAUAAUGCAAGGAAGACAGUCCAGCAGAGGCAGGGUGUAAAGAAGAUGCCCAGAAAGGUGGGCAUAGUGGUGUUUUGCCACUUUUUCACAAAAUCCAAUUAGAUCUAGGGUUAUAAAUGUGACGAAGAGCUGUGUCUUCCUCGUGGAGGUCAAUCAUUGCUUUUGAGAAAUUAAAUUCCAACUUGGAUACAGCUGUACACAGCUAUUUUCAAUGUGGUCACAGAGCACUGACUAUGCAUUGAGGUAAGAGGCACGAUGCAAUGUCAGUCUCCAUUCUGCUGGUGGUGUUCCUUGUACCCCUGAAAACCACGUCCUGGCCUCCUGCAUAUAUUAGAUAACCCUGGAGCUUGUUCUUCAGAAAACUCCUCUGAAUUUGAUUCAUUCCUGUGACAGGAGAUAUCCUUUCAACCAAGAAAAAUGUUCUGUCAUCCUUAAACCAUCAGCCUGUGAGAUGGAAUAGCCAACUUGGUGUGUUUGCGUAAGUCCACUUCUUUAUGGCCACAGGCUGUUUGGUUCCCUCCCAGUCAGGAUGACUAUUUCUCAUCUGGUCUCCACUCUAUUUGUUUUGUUUUACUUGUAGCCCUGCUACGAAUUAAAAUUUCCAUGAAUUUAGCUCUGAAUCACUUGAAUACACAAAGCUUUCUGAGUGUAGUUCACAGGGAAGGUCAACACUACAAAUGAAAAUAAAUUAGUCUGACAGAGGUGCCUGUGUCUGUCUCUCUGCAUGGGUGUGGGCAUCAUGCUGGUGACGGUGGCUGACGUGCUGCCUGGGUAGGAACCAGGGCCAGGUAAACAUGUUCAAUGGAACAAUUUCCUCUCCAUAUUAGACUUGUUAGUGUAACCCUGAGUAUGAUACUGUGUUUGCCAUAUAGGCGGAAAGUGAAAAAUUCUGUAGAAACUUGGUAACAGCAAUCAGAUCUGCACAACUAUGGAUGUUUUCCCUGCCUAGUUUUUAUUUGGUUGCUUUUUAUCUCAGACUUCUCUUCCCCCAAUACAUGUAAACGUGUCAUAUUCAGGGGAAAUAUGUCAUUUAAGCAUCUCUGUUUUUAAACAACUUGUCUUUAAUUGAAACACUGGUGAUUCUUCCUGAAGAAACCCGGAGGAUGAACACAAAUAAUUAGAAUGCAAAAAUCCUGUGAAGUAAGAGGAAGUAUUGCUCUUCUUUAAUUCCUAUUGUCUCCUUUUGGAAAUUGGUUAGGUUAGGGUUUAAGUAAGUGUAACAGAUAGGAGAUGAAAAAGCAAAUAAAAUACAUAAAAAAUUCACUUUUGUAUUAAUGGAACAAUGACCUGAAAGGGAAAUCCUACCAACAGUCUUAUGCAAGAUGGUGAUAAAAAAGCAAAAGAAAUCUCUUCAUUUUCAAGAAAGCUUCACAAAGAAAGCAACCAGACAUGGAAGCAUCUCCCACCUUUCACUGCCAAUGGAUGUUGCAUAUGAUGUCCUUGGAUGCCCAAAAGAUUAGGCAGUCUGAUCCAUCUGGCCCGUGUAGCACGGAUCAAAGACAUUUCUCCAUCUUCAAACAUAAGCUCAUGCUCACUGAAAAUGAAGAGGACAAAUUGAAAGUUAUAAUCUGAGAAAAUAAAUAGGGCCACCUGGCUCUUGAGGGGGCAAAAUUGUGGACCAGUCCUCUCAUGUGAAAAUGCAUUAUGAACAACAAAAAAGGUUCUGCUACUCUGGUAUUUUUCAGAAUUCAGCUUCAGUCACCAGCCUGCACCAUACGACUGCUAUUGACUGCUCCAGUUUGCUGCAUCAUUUGUACCAUGGCACUUCUCAACAUCCAGGAGAACU